CUCUUCCUUAUUUUUUGCUUCUGUUGCCCUUGCAUGCCUAGGUGAACACAUUCUGGAUGAGAAAUGUCCUAUCAGGUCAGGACCAGUCAAGGACCCAGUUUCUGCAAAUACAUCAAUUCUUUCUAAUCUAAUGAUGAGGCUCACACCCAGAACACUCUCAGGUGCUGUGUUUCUCUCCAGGUGGAGCUCCAGACUCUCGGGUGCCAGAUGAUUAAGCCUUGUUUCUAGCAGGGGUUGGAAGCGGCUGCUUCUGUAUCAAACCUCUUUUUCUCUCGGCCAGUUGCGGCAGAGUCUACACCCAGCUGUGAUGCGAGGUGCCCACUGGCAGCUCUCAUCUCUACCGACAACCUUUCAUCUCCAUUCUCUAUAAACUUUUCUUAAUAUCUGCUUGUUAAACCUGACAGAAUGGCAUUAGAACAAAGCUAACCUGGCUGCUGAAAUGCUGGCAGCAUCAUCUGUCAGGCUUUUUUUGCUUCUUCCUUUGAUAAAGUUUUGCUGGGCUAUUAUCGUGGAGGCCUUGUUGGAGGGUGCUGAGACCUUGGAGCAGAAAGGCAGCCAUCUGUUGCAGAAAGCUCAAAGGGUGAUGUGGUCCUGGGGUGUAUCCUGAGUUGAGUCAUCUAUUUCUUCUCCCAGAUUAUUCCCAGUGAAUACCAAAUCCAAACCUCCCCAUCUCUGCUUAUAUAAGAACUUUAGAAACCUUUCAAAAUAAAACUUGUAAACUUGGUUGUUCUACUUAAAAAUUCUACCAUGUACUGUAUAGCACAGGGAACUCAGUAUCUUGUAAUAACCUAUACUGGAAAAGAAUCUGUAAAAGAAUAUAUAUGUAUAUUUGAGUCACUGUGCUGUACACUUAAAUCCAACACAACAUUGUAAAUUAAUUAUACUUCAAUUAAAAAAAGAAAAAAAUCUAGAAGCAAGAUUUUAGGCAGUUUCAUAAAAGUCACAAGGAUCCAUUGCUUUCUCUAGGUCUCAGUAAAUUAGCAUCAGAGCAAGGAUGCGAAGUUAGAUCUUCUUAUAUAAAAAAGGAAACAACCUUGUUUGUGGUAUAAUAGGAAGUCUUUGUCCCUCCCUGCUGCUUGAACUGACACGGUCAGAGAUUAGAGUGCUCUCUGAGCAGUGGAGGGGCAAGCUUUGCAAAUUCGUAUGCUAUGGAGCACCUACUGUCUUCAGACCGGCUGAGAACCAUAGCUGGGAGCAGGCAUGCCCAUGGCAGCCAAUUCCAGCUCCAAAACUUUAUCUUAAAGAAUGGCUUUCCACCCACAGUCUUCAUACAGACCUGGUGAAGGUUGGAGAAGAGCCAUGGAAACUACUGUUUAACACUUAACUGGCACAAUCCCUGCCAGAAGAGUAGGUGCUCCACAAAUGCUGUUUGCCAUUUGACUUUAGAAGUACAGCUGACAAGUUAAAUUAGAGGGGGUGGUAGAUCAAAAGUAUUCUUCCUUGAGAAGGGCAUCCGUAAUUUAGUUUGCCAGAUUUAGCCUUUAAACUUCUGGAGCAGCUUCUGCCCACCCACCCCCAUCUCCACCACUGGCCAAGAACAGAUUACAUGGUAGUGUUUAUAGCAUCUUCAUUAGCAUAGUCCUCUCACUUUUCUUUAUAGCUGGAUUUUCACAUUUUAACCUAUGUGAAAGGCAAGUACUAGAUUUGAAAUAUUCUUUGUGAUCAUGCCUGCCUUCUUCCUAGAACGUAACUGGUCUGUAGCUCCCGGUGAAACCUCUGUGAAUGCCAUUGACAUUACACAUCUGGCUGAGGGCGUCAUUCGAAGCUGAAAAAUCACUCUUUUUAUCUCCAGUGCUUCUUCUAUGUGGUUGUAUGUAGGUUGUAUGAGGAAAAAGAUAUUCUCUCAAGAAUUGUGGGUCAUCACUUUGGGAAAAAUGCUGUGGCAUGAUAUUAGUUAAACUCAGUUCAUGUCAACUUCAAGAACAAACAGAUGAGAUGCCUGGUUCUUCACUCCCCCACACCCAUGCUCUCCUCCUCAUAAGCCAUGCCAAGGAGAGCUCCCAUCUCCAGACUUUUUUCCUUAUACGGUGUGGUUUCUGCCAUUAAGAAGUCUGCUUGGACAUGGAAGACUUCAAGCACUAAAUUAUGUCUCCUGUUCCCUGCUCACUGACACAAGUGUGCCAAGGUCCAAAAGAAGAACUGGGUGGGUGUGCCCUAAGAGGAGGCAGUGUUCCUCUUCUAAUUGCCUUAAAAGCUUUUGAAGCCAUUGUCUGGUGGAUCUAAGAAGAUUGAUCUUAAAGGUGUGAGCUCAGAGCUGCAAGUCAGGAGCUCAGAGUUGUAAUUCUUGGGUCGGCAAUGACUCAUUGCAGGGCCUGAGGCAAACUCACUCAUCUUCUCUGUGCACCCAUGUAUUCCUCUGCAGAAGCUGGGGAAAUCAACAUGCAGUUUCCUGAUGGGCUUAUUAUACGGUUUAGGCAUUAAUAAUCAUGGCGAAUAAGUUUGAUGAAAAGCACCCUGAGAUUUUUUUUACCUGCUUGAAACCUCUGCAGAUUUUUAGCAAUCUUUGUUGGUCUUGUUUCCAAGUCUGGACUUCCUUCUUUGGAGGUCUUUCUAAUAGCAGUGAGGAAAUUCAAGUUCCCUUGAAGUUUUGUUCCGAUCCUGGUAAGCACAGAUGAUUUCCUUUAGGAUGGUGCACAUGCUGGUUUUGUAAAAGAGAUCUUCUCACCUACCACAAAGACCUCCCCGCUCCCCUUUAGGACCAGAUGCCAUGCAGUAUGGGAACCAGCUUCUGUGGCGGGACCAUGUUGUUUCUGAGCCCAUCUGGGUAAAAGCCUCCUCGUGGUCUUGGCAGAGCUAUUGUGUCAACCAAGAAGCAUCAUAAAGACAUCCUCCUUUGUUGAUAGUCUUCUCCCAUGUCUGAUGAAACAGCCCUUUUGGGGAUAAAAAAAGUCAAAAUGAAAAAUGGUGUGUCAAUAAAUGGAAAUUAAAUGAAUGUGUUAGUAUUAAUUUGUUACAUUCUACAUGUGCUCCUCUGAAGAAGUGGUGUUUAUAUUCAGGGCCAGCUGCAGACUUCCAGGAUGGUAAAGUCAGAAGGGACCCAAGAGAAAUUGAUCCAGCAGCCCCCACGUGGUUUCCAUCUCAGUCGGAUCCUCCUGUACUUUGCUCACUCACUUCCCUCCUUGGAAAGGAGUACAAUUCCUAAGUGUUAUAGUUUCUGCUCUCUGUCUUCCAUAUUUCAGGUCUCUUGAGUCCUGAAGCAUAUUUCUGUCUCAUCUACUUAACUCUGCUGUUAAAUCUCUACCACCAUGCCUGUCUCUUCAGCUCACCAGAUUUCACACUCAUUUGCCAGUGGCUGUGAAAGGAAAUGACAGCAGAAUUUCUCACGGACUUGGCUCCCAUCCAGCGUGGAAAACUUACUGAGUUGAUGUCUCCCAGAGCCCUGUCUUUAGCUCAGGUGUCCCCAUUUCAUUGGGCUCAGCAGAUUUCCUACAUCUGUGCUGUAUGACAUUGUAAAGAGUUCAAUCUGGAGACUCGUUUUCCCCUUCUGCGUCCCCAUUCCCUGUUUAAGCCUAGGAGCCUCCCCAUAGGUGGAAGACUGAAAAAGUGCAGAUUGUAUCAGCCCUGCUUUUAGCAGUGCCCUGUGGAAUAAGGCACCUCCUGCUCAGUGUUCCCUUGACUGCGUUGAAGGUGUGAACAGACGAGCAAGAUCCAUGAGCUGACAACCAGGCUGUGAGAGCCCCAGAGAUGGUGAGCACAUCUCUGUUAUUGGCUUGGGGGCCCUGGAGGAGAACAAUAGGGUGCAGGCACUCCAUUCUCCUUAACUCACUCAUUCUUUCACCCAGCGGUUACUGAGCUCUUACUGUGCUAUGCACCAGGUUGGCCAUCGAGAUAAGACAUCUGUAAUUUAUUGAAUGUGCAUUGUGGAGCAGAGCCUGUGCUAAGUGGGCGUCUUCCACAAGCUGCAAGAUGGUACUGUGGUUGUCUCUACUUUAAGAAGAGGCAAUUGACACUUAGAGGUGUUAAGUAACAUCACACAGCUGGCGGUGAUGGAACCAGGAUCUGAAGGCAGACAGUCUCAUUCAAAGUCUUGUGUUCUUAACAGCUAUGCUAGGCUGCUUGAAUGCAGGAAUCUUUACUAGACAUCAUGGGAGACCCCAGGACAAUUCCUGCUCCCCAAGAGUUAAUGAUAAAGAAGCAACAAGCACUCAUUGCCCUGCCACGUACACAGUAUAAUCUUGGCCAUGUUGCUUCUCUGUGCCUCAGUUUCCUCAUUCUUAAAAUGGAUGUGAUGAGAAUUCCUAUUUCUUAGGCUUAUUUCAAGAGUUGAAUGUCUUAAAAUAUGCAAAAUAAGACAGUGCUUUGAUCUCCUGAGAGUUGUUAGCUCUUUACUAUUGUUUUUAAUUAUCCACUAUUAAUAUUCACCAUGGAUACAUAGCAGUACUCUCUGUGCAAUUAUGGAAUAGCAGACAUUGUGUUAAUCACUUGGGGAUUUACAGUGAACAGGAUAUAUAGUCUCUGUCCCCUUUUAUUCCUUCAUUGGAGUGAAGGUAACCCCCAAAAUAUUUCUAACAGUAAGGAAGUAAGAGCCCUGUAAGACAACACUCACUCCUGCUUGAGACAGAGAAAAGAAUGUUGAGAUAGGGAGUUCCCCGUUGUGGCGCAGUGGUUAACGAAUCUGACUAGGAACCAUGAGGUUGCGGGUUCGAUCCCUGGCCUUGCUCAGUGGGUUAAGGAUCCGGCGUUGCCAUGAGCUGUGGUGUAGGCUGCAGACACGGCUCGGAUCCCAAGUUGCUGUGGCUCUGGCGUAGGCCGGUGGCUACAGCUCCAAUUCGACCCCUAGCCUGGGAACCUCCAUAUGCCGCGAGAGCGGCCC
rnacentral:lncRNA from 1 species